AGAAAUUUUCCAAAGUAAGGGGGCCGGCAUGGACCAAUCAGCAUCCUGGGGGCAGGUCGUCCGCGGGUGGAAAAGUGGGAGUGACUUAGGAGGGAAAUCAUCAGAAACCCGGCAGAGGUCCUAGCGUGGGAAAACGCCCUCUGCGCUAGGAGAGAGCAGCCGCGAUGCCUGCCUCCGCGCCCCGCGGGACCCCUUUCCUUCUCCUAGCUCCUCUCCUGAUGCUGUCCGCUGUGCUGGCCGUGCCCCUGGACCGCGCGGCGCCCCAUCAGGACGACAGCCAGGCCACUGAGAGCCCGGGGCUGAAGACAUGUC